GACGAACGCUGGCGGCGCGCCUAACACAUGCAAGUCGAACGAGAGAUGAGGAGCUUGCUCUUCAAAUCGAGUGGCGAACGGGUGAGUAACGCGUGAGGAACCUGCCUCAAAGAGGGGGACAACAGUUGGAAACGACUGCUAAUACCGCAUAAGCCCACGGCUCGGCAUCGAGCAGAGGGAAAAGGAGCAAUCCGCUUUGAGAUGGCCUCGCGUCCGAUUAGCUAGUUGGUGAGGUAACGGCCCACCAAGGCGACGAUCGGUAGCCGGACUGAGAGGUUGAACGGCCACAUUGGGACUGAGACACGGCCCAGACUCCUACGGGAGGCAGCAGUGGGGAAUAUUGCACAAUGGGGGAAACCCUGAUGCAGCGACGCCGCGUGGAGGAAGAAGGUCUUCGGAUUGUAAACUCCUGUUGUUGAGGAAGAUAAUGACGGUACUCAACAAGGAAGUGACGGCUAACUACGUGCCAGCAGCCGCGGUAAAACGUAGGUCACAAGCGUUGUCCGGAAUUACUGGGUGUAAAGGGAGCGCAGGCGGGAGAACAAGUUGGAAGUGAAAUCCAUGGGCUCAGCCCAUGAACUGCUUUCAAAACUGUUUUUCUUGAGUAGUGCAGAGGUAGGCGGAAUUCCCGGUGUAGCGGUGGAAUGCGUAGAUAUCGGGAGGAACACCAGUGGCGAAGGCGGCCUACUGGGCACCAACUGACGCUGAGGCUCGAAAGUGUGGGUAGCAAACAGGAUUAGAUACCCUGGUAGUCCACACCGUAAACGAUGAUUACUAGGUGUUGGAGGAUUGACCCCCUCAGUGCCGCAGUUAACACAAUAAGUAAUCCACCUGGGGAGUACGACCGCAAGGUUGAAACUCAAAGGAAUUGACGGGGGCCCGCACAAGCAGUGGAGUAUGUGGUUUAAUUUGACGCAACGCGAAGAACCUUACCAAGUCUUGACAUCCUGCGACGCACAUAGAAAUAUGUGUUUCCUUCGGGACGCAGAGACAGGUGGUGCAUGGUUGUCGUCAGCUCGUGUCGUGAGAUGUUGGGUUAAGUCCCGCAACGAGCGCAACCCUUAUGGUCAGUUACUACGCAAGAGGACUCUGGCCAGACUGCCGUUGACAAAACGGAGGAAGGUGGGGAGGACGUCAAAUCAUCAUGCCCUCUAUGACUUGGGCUACACACGUACUACAAUGGCGUUAAACAAAGAGAAGCAAGACCGCGAGGUGGAGCAAAACUCAGAAACAACGUCCCAGUUCGGACUGCAGGCUGCAACUCGCCUGCACGAAGUCGGAAUUGCUAGUAAUCGUGGAUCAGCAUGCCACGGUGAAUACGUUCCCGGGCCUUGCAC
rnacentral:rRNA from 1 species